rnacentral:tRNA from 1 species
GGGGUUGUAGCUCAGUGGUAGAGUGUGUGGUUGGCAUGCGUGGGGUCCUGGGUUCAAUCCCCAGUACCUCCA